rnacentral:lncRNA from 1 species
UGCAAUUAGUAUUAUUAAAUAGAAACAAAAUUAAAAAAAUCAAUCUUGAUCAUACAUAUAUAAAAAUUACGCAUGUGUCAAAAGAUUGUUCAAAAUUCAAAUAAGUUCAAAUCAUGAGGAAUUCAAUUCCUUUAAGUCUAUCUAUCGUUUUUAAAUUUUAAUUGUUUCAUUUUUGUUUAAUUAAAAUAAAAUUGAAAAAAAUAAAACAAAUGAGUUGAAAGUUAAAAUUCUCUGGUGGUCGGGGUACUUCUUUAGAUGGUUGGGCUUCUGGGACGUUGGAAUCACAUGAUUUCAGGAUACAUGCUUCCAAUCUCGUACCAAAUGUUAGUCUUCAUAAGUAUUUCCAUAUAAUGCCUAAUAUGGUAAAAUUUGGGCCCUCUUUAAUUUUGUCUCUAUAUGGAAUUUGACUGAAUUAUUUUUCUAUGAAUUACAGGAGCAGUAACAUCGAUUAUGAAAAAUGAAAAAAUAAGGGAAAUUUGACUUAAAGUAAAAAGGAAAUGUUGACCCCAAAAGACGGAUCCUAAAUCAAACGAAAUCAUCUCCAAUUGUGUAGGAUUCAACCACGUCAAUCUCAUGAUUUCACUUCAAUAAAUAAUAAUAUUGUUCUCGUCUAAUACUAUCAGCAUUCCAAACUCUUUUGCAUUUUCUAAGUGCCUGUUUGGUAUGGCUUAUUUAAGAGCCAUAAGUGCUUAUUUAAUCGUAUAAGCACUUUUUAAAAUUUUUUAUGGUGUUUGGUUAUUUUUUUAAUAGAGCUUUUUUAGCUUAAAUAAGCUAAUUUACCUCUA